AGGGGGACCUUCGGGCCUCUUGCCAUCGGAUGUGCCCAGAUGGGAUUAGCUAGUAGGUGGGGUAACGGCUCACCUAGGCGACGAUCCCUAGCUGGUCUGAGAGGAUGACCAGCCACACUGGAACUGAGACACGGUCCAGACUCCUACGGGAGGCAGCAGUGGGGAAUAUUGCACAAUGGGCGCAAGCCUGAUGCAGCCAUGCCGCGUGUAUGAAGAAGGCCUUCGGGUUGUAAAGUACUUUCAGCGGGGAGGAAGGGAGUAAAGUUAAUACCUUUGCUCAUUGACGUUACCCGCAGAAGAAGCACCGGCUAACUCCGUGCCAGCAGCCGCGGUAAUACGGAGGGUGCAAGCGUUAAUCGGAAUUACUGGGCGUAAAGCGCACGCAGGCGGUUUGUUAAGUCAGAUGUGAAAUCCCCGGGCUCAACCUGGGAACUGCAUCUGAUACUGGCAAGCUUGAGUCUCGUAGAGGGGGGUAGAAUUCCAGGUGUAGCGGUGAAAUGCGUAGAGAUCUGGAGGAAUACCGGUGGCGAAGGCGGCCCCCUGGACGAAGACUGACGCUCAGGUGCGAAAGCGUGGGGAGCAAACAGGAUUAGAUACC
rnacentral:rRNA from 1 species